rnacentral:tRNA from 1 species
GAAGCUAUAGGUCAGUGGUAGAGUGUCUGCUUACCAUGCAUGAGGUCCUGGGUUUGAUCCCCAGUACCUCCA